AACGAACGCUGGCGGCAUGCCUAACACAUGCAAGUCGAACGAAGUCUUCGGACUUAGUGGCGCACGGGUGCGUAACGCGUGGGAAUCUGCCCUUGGGUGCGGAAUAACUUCUCGAAAGGGAUGCUAAUACCGCAUAAUGUCGUAAGACCAAAGAUUUAUCGCCCAAGGAUGAGCCCGCGUAAGAUUAGCUAGUUGGUGGGGUAAAAGCCUACCAAGGCGACGAUCUUUAGCUGGUCUGAGAGGAUGAUCAGCCACACUGGGACUGAGACACGGCCCAGACUCCUACGGGAGGCAGCAGUGGGGAAUAUUGGACAAUGGGCGAAAGCCUGAUCCAGCAAUGCCGCGUGAGUGAUGAAGGCCCUAGGGUUGUAAAGCUCUUUUACCAGGGAUGAUAAUGACAGUACCGGGAGAAUAAGCCCCGGCUAACUCCGUGCCAGCAGCCGCGGUAAU
rnacentral:rRNA from 1 species